UCGCCCAGCGGGGCUCCAGCGGCUGCUCCGAAGCUCCUCGUUGUCUUUCUCUCAGGGCUUUAUUUUCCGCUCGGGACCCCCCUUUUCUGUUUUCUGAUCCACGGUACUUCCCGAUCUGAAUCGCUUGUCUUCCGCUUACCUCUCCCUUCUUUUUUCUAGACUUCCCCACGGUCCCCUGAACACUCUCCCAACCCACAGCCU
rnacentral:lncRNA from 1 species